CACAUUGAAACACUGGUUCCUGUACAAUCACUGAAGUUAAGCAACAUCAAGCCUGGCCAGUACCUAGAUGGAUGACCGCUUGGGAAUAUCAGGUGCUGUU